rnacentral:misc_RNA from 1 species
CUGAGACUGGGUGCUUCGGCGCCCGACCUCCAACCCUUUGUCUACCUUACCACUGUUGCCUCGGCGGGGAGGCUCGCUUAACCGCGGGCUAUCCACCCCCGCCGAUGGCCUACAACCAGAACUCUUGUUUAAACACCGCUUAUCUGAGAACAAAAACAAUAACUUCA